rnacentral:rRNA from 1 species
UGCCAGCAGCCGCGGUAAUACGGAGGGGGUUAGCGUUGUUCGGAAUCACUGGGUUUAAAGGGUGCGUAGGCGGUUUGAUAAGUCAGAAGUGAAAGCCUGCGGCUUAACCGUAGAAUUGCUUUUGAUACUGUCGAACUUGAAUUAGGUUGAGGUUGGCGGAAUGUGACAUGUAGCGGUGAAAUGCAUAGAUAUGUCAUAGAACACCAAUUGCGAAGGCAGCUGACUAGACCUUAAUUGACGCUGAGGCACGAAAGCGUGGGGAGCGAACAGGAUUAGAUA